rnacentral:tRNA from 1 species
GGGGUUGUGGCUCAGAGGUAGAGCACUUGCCUAGCAUGCAUGAGGCACUGGGUUCAAUCCUCAGCACCACA